AAAUGGACUACUUCAAAAUGGAGAUAGCCUCAAUGGCGUUGCCCAUGCGUUUAACAGAGGCCAUAAUGGACUACUUCAAAAUGGAGAUAGCCUCAAUGGCGUUGCCCAUGCGUUUAACAGAGGCCAUAAUGGACUACUUCAAAAUGGAGAUAGCCUCAAUGGCGUUGCCCAUGCGUUUAACAGAGGCCAUAAUUAGAUGGAUAUAAGGUUACGACAUCUUUCCAUCUCUAUGGGUAACAGACAGAUUGAUGACUGGUACUUAGUGAUGUUCCUCUGAAAGGUUCUACCUGUCCAAUAGGGAAGCCUCAUAAGAACAUAGGCCAAAUGAUUGGUUGAACUAACACAUAAGGAGGUGCUGUGGGCAGAGCAAAAUGUUAUUGGAGACCGAGACGGAAGAGGAAGCCAGACAUCCCACUCCCUAAUUUCUUUCUGGUUCACAUUGGUGUCUUUGGGAGAGUCCCCCACGCCCGAUUAAGCAGAACGGAACUGACCAUUAUUUUCAAUGGGAAACGGUCUGAGUGAAUUAUCUUGAUUUAUUCAUCAUCUUUGUUAGAAAUACAUGAACCACUGGUCUUCUGUAUUGCACGUAGAGAAUUAUAGCGGCCUCAAGAUGGAUUAAACCCAUUUGUGCAUGGAUAUUGCCAUUGAAAGCUUCCACCAUUUUGAAGUAGUCAACUGGGUGGGACUUCCUAUGGGUUAAGGAAGGAUCACAUGAUUCCAUCCAGGUCAUCAGGAUCAGACAAUGAAUUAUAGUCAGCCCAUGAGUAAUAGUCAACUGGGUGGGACUUCCUAUUGGUUAAGGAAGGAUCACAUGAUUCCAUCCGGGUCAUCAGGAUCAGCCAAUGAAUUAUACUGGUGAGGAAACAUUCCAUAACAGCAGGUGGCAGUAAAUCGCCAACCUUGGCCAACCUGUUCCAACAACACCCUCCAGGGGGCAGUGUGCACCCUUUCAGUUUGUUUACCAACUCAUAGAAGUAGUAGAAGAAGAAAAUGGACAACUUCAAAAUGGAGAUGGGCUCAUGGCGCUACCCAAAGCGCUCCCAGACACCCUAAUGGGACAGAUGCACAGAGGAGUCCUCUAAUCUCUAUGGCAGGGGUUCUUAAACUUUUUCAGCCUGGGACCCAAAUGAGAAAUUCUGUGUUUUCCUGGGACUCAAGCUUAUGGAAACAUCAGUACAUUUAAUUUCCCUUGUACCUAAAACAAAUACAAUAUAGACAAAUAACGAAAUUGAAAUUGAAAUGAAAUUAAAUACCCAUAUAAAUAGCUAUUCAUGUUUAUUUCCUCCCAUUAAAAACACUCUUACAUGUCUGUCUAGGUUGGAACUGUUGCUGCUAAAAUACAAUAAAUAAUUGUAAUUCUGAAUGGGAAUAAACUGAUUAAAGCAAGAUGCUUUUUGAGGCACACACACACACACAGUCCUAAUGAAAGGUGUGUGACUGGUUGAAGUUUUUUUUUUUUUAAGUACAACCGAGUUGAGAACCCUGACUCACACAGGUAUGUGGUACCAAACUGGACCAGAACAUCUACUGCUUUCUACAGUUCCCACCUAGACGUGUUUUCAACAGUCAUUUCUACAGUCAUUUCUACAGUAAAAUGCACAGUAGGUCUGAUCAUGUAUUGUUUUACUGACCAUGUAUUUUCCCGAGUUCCCAGUUGUUUUGAACGCGACAAAUGACUGGCAGCGCUACAGAACGACAGUACUGCAGCCUGAGAGUCGCGGAGGGAAGGAAACUGCCGAAACUCGCGCAGCUGCCAGACUGCGCAGAGAGUUUAAUUGCACUUGACCAAAUCAAUUCCAGUAAUUAAUCUAAAAAUAUAUUAAUUUAUAUUAAUUUACGUCGCGACCCACUACCCAUGCUUUAAAGAAAGGCCGCUCUAUGGUAUCACGUUAAGCGUCACUUUUUCACAGAGAUGUUUUGAGGACAUCAGGCGGUUUAGGACGCCAUCUAGUGGCUGCUUUUAGAAGUGCAUGAGCCAAACGAGGCCCAGACGAGGCUCAGUUUGGCACAGACAAGACAGGUCAUACAAACUUUGCUGUGGUUCACAAAAAAAAACAAUCCUUAAUUAUGUUGAGGUAAACUGCGCAGUCAUGCUGUGCAACUGGGUAAAGUUAUUGGGGAGCCUUUGCAUGAGGAGUGUAAAUGAGGAGGCUACUGAGUAAAUUAUGAUCUGGGGUGUUAGCUAGCUAAACAAACCUUAGUUGGCUAGCAAUUAGUUUCUCUAAGUCUAUCAUGUUAGCCAGCCAACAGUUUAACAAGCCUUUGGUUAAAAAACCAGCCAGCAAAAGAUGUUGACCAGUUUGUAUCAACCGGUUCUCAUGCUGCUCUGAGAACAGACAUACAUAUAUAUACUGAGUCAUUUUGGGGUUGCUGUUCAAGCUAGCAAACAUCUUUAGCUUUUUUUAGUACUUGAUUACAAAUUCUCUUUCAAAUGAGAAAUUGUAUUAGUAUAAAAUAAUAAAAUGUUCCCAGUUUUUUGGGGGGGGCAUACAAUAUAGCUCAGUAGUUGUACUAUUUAUUUCAUACUGUCACACCCUGAUCUGUUUCACCUGUCUUUGUGUUUGUCUCCACCCCCCCUCCGGGUGUCGCCCAUCUUCUCCAUUAUCCCCUGUGUAUUUAUACCUGUGUUCUCUGUUUGUCCGUGUCCAGUUCGUUUUGUUAGGUCUUACCAGCAUGCUUUCCCGUCUUCCUGUUUCUCAAGUCCUGUUUCCUAGUUUUUCCUGGUUCUGACCUGCCUGCCUGCCGUCCUGUACCUGCCUGACUCUGACCUGAUCACGAACCUCCGCCUGUACUCCUCGACCUGUCCUUUACCUGCCCUGUGUUUAUAAUAAAUUAUCUGAGAACUGUG